GCGGUCAUCGUCUAGUUUGGUCAGGACACUGGCCUUCCAAGCCCGUAACCCGGGUUCAAAUCCCGGUGACCGCACCA
rnacentral:tRNA from 1 species